UACAGAGGGUGCGAGCGUUAAUCGGAAUUACUGGGCGUAAAGCGUGCGUAGACGGUUAUGCAAGACAGAUGUGAAAUCCCCGGGCUUAACCUGGGAACCGCAUUUGUGACUGCAUAGCUGGAGUACGGCAGAGGGGGGAUGGAAUUCCGCGUGUAGCAGUGAAAUGCGUAGAUAUGCGGAGGAACACCGAUGGCGAAGGCAGUCCCCCUGGGCCUGUACUGACGCUCAUGCACGAAAGCGUGGGGAGCAAACAGG
rnacentral:rRNA from 1 species